rnacentral:rRNA from 1 species
GAUGAACGCUGGCGGCGUGCCUAAUACAUGCAAGUCGAGCGAACGGACGAGAAGCUUGCCUCGCUGAUGUUAGCGGCGGACGGGUGAGUAACACGUGGAUAACCUACCUAUAAGACUGGGAUAACUUCGGGAAACCGUAGCUAAUACCGGAUAAGAUUGUGAACCGGAUGGUUCAAAAGUGAAAGACGUUCUUGCUGUCACUUGGAGAGGGAUCCACGCUGGAUUAGCUAGUGGGUAAGGUAACGGCUUACCAAGGCAACGAUGCAUAGCCGAUCUGAGAGGAUGAUCAGCCACACUGGAACUGAGACACGGUCCAGACUCCUACGGGAGGCAGCAGUAGGGAAUAUUGGACAAUGGGCGAAAGCCUGAUCCAGCCAUGCCGCGUGUGUGAUGAAGGUCUUCGGAUUGUAAAGCACUGUUAUUUGGGAAGAACAGCAGUGAAUGAAUACCUGGCUAUUUUGACGGUACCAACAGAAUAAGCACCGGCUAACUACGUG